rnacentral:misc_RNA from 1 species
UUUUAAACUGUAAACUUCACAGUUAAACAGUUAAAGCAAAUUCAUGAGGUGCACCAUGAGACUAGACCCACUUGGGUUGCCAUCUUUUCUAUUUAAUGCCAUAUAGGUUAGCUUAUUUGAAUUAAAACAAAAAAAAAUCCAUCUAAUGAAAGAAUGAAAUACGCGUAAGAAAUUAAAUUUUCUUAGUCUCACUCAUAUGACAAAUAAAGAAAAAGGUUCUUCACCUCCUGUUUUACCUGAUAAACACUCAGACUAUUAAGCUACUAUGUAGAUCAACUGUGAUCAAGGAAUUUAAUUGAUCACUCUUUUGAAAAUGUUUAAUGUAGUUGAGGUCCUUGAGGACGAUGAAUACCUGCAGACCCUUGCUUCUUUGUAUACAAGACCUGGUCUGCAAAAAUACCCAUUUUUUGGGCUGCAGUGCUUGUCUUCUGAACAUAUACAUUGCCCCUCCAGGGCACAGCCAUCGCCUUUCACAGCUUCUUUUCUUAAAAUUAAUAUCUCAUCUGACAAUUCACUAGAAAACAUGUUUUGAGGGUCUAAUAUCUUCUUUGCUGCAAGGAACUUGCUAAAAUUAGGAUACUUGCUCUGCACAUCCAAGAAUGCCAGGUUCCUAUUCUUAGCCCAAUGAGGUUUAGCCCCAUAUUUGAAGAAUGCCAUUUGCUCUACUUCUUCCCAAAUGUCUUGGUUUAAUCUUGGAGUUGAAGGAUCAUCAGCUCGAUAAUAGUUAAAAUCAAGAACCACAGAGUCCUCAGAUUGACCAAGAUAUGCUUGAGAAGCCUUGAUGAAUCGUAUCAGGAACCCAUUGUAGAUAUCAACCCCACAAAAAUUUUCUGGUUGAAGGUCUCUCAAUUUUUUAACAUCUUUGAUAAAAUCUCCAAACUUUGAAGCAGGAAAUAUUGCAGUUGUUUCGUAAAAGAAGAGCCCUUUAAUUCUUGGAUCCCAAGCACAAGAGGUAUCGAUUCUUGUUGCAGGGGAAUAUAAACAAGAACCUGAAGUCUGCAUUUUCCCCUGAUGACCCACUACUGGAUAGCCAGUAAAGAUUAGGCCAUUCUUCAAUCCAUUGGCUAUCAACUUCUUAAACCCCACAAAAGAAAUUGCCAAUAAGCACUUUCCAUUCACAUUAUUUGCUUUCUCCAACGAUUUCUCUGCUGCUCUAGUUGAUUGUGAUACCACAAUAGAAUUUGAUUGAAAUCCAAGAAAGUCGAAUUCUCCAUUACCGGAGGCAGUGAGAGGAACUCUGAAAUCAUAUCUAUAGACUGCUGUUUUCCUUGAUGGGUACCAAGUAAUAUCGCCAAAUUCAUAUUUCUUCCCAUGAUCUAUGAACAUAUCCUCUAUGUGAGCAUCAUCUGUGAAAUUGUAUGUUAUGCUUCUUUUGAAUGCAGGCUCCAGGGACAACUUCACCUUGGAGAUGACACCCAAUAAUCCUAUAGAUACUUUGGCUGCCUUAAGCAGAGGAUCUUGGGCUUCAAUUCUGAUAAUUUUUGCAUACCCUUCAGACUCCUUUGCAGGGACUACAAGACUAAGGCCAAUGACGUGAUCAUGGACAGCUCCACCUUUUCCCCACCAUGAGCUUCCAUGUGCUCCUGUGCUAAUAAGUCCCCCCACACUCACACCCUCCCAAUAUGGAGCUGCCACCAAGCUCAAUCCAGCUUCUUCAACUCUAUCAAUCAGCUCACGCAGACCCACUCCAGCAUCAGCUGUGACAGCUAAAUUAGCCACGUCAAUUUCAAUGACAGAGUUAUCAUUCAGUGUGCUUAUUAGCAUCGAAUUCUCAUACUGUGAACCAGGACAAGCCAACUUGGGUAUAGUGUGUGAAAAUCCGCUAACCACUUUAACCUUGAGUUUAUUUCUAUUAGCAUAUGCCACAGCCAAGCGUAGUUCUUCUUCAGAUGAAGGAUACGAGACAUUAGGAACAUUACAAGCCUUCCGAUCAUUCCAGGCACCAUAGGAGUUGUAAAGGGUGCAGCCAGAAUCAUUGCAUCGAAUUGGUGGGGGAGGUGGCAUGGCAAGGACAGCUAUUGGGGUUAGACCCCAAAGAAGAACAAGAUGCACGGCAAGUAGACACCAUGAGUAGACCAUUGAUCAGGCCCUGGAAAUUCUGAAUCAAAUAGAAAUUAGUUGCGCAAAGGCAGGCACAGUUGCUUCCUAUUUAAUGAAUUUUGGAAGGCAAGAGGUCAAUGCUUGGAAGGGAA